UCCAGUAAAGCUUAUGUGUUUGACUGAGGCAAAAAUGUCCUGUGCUGGGAAGGGCUAGCUUUGGUAGCAGGAUGUUUCAAGCACCUGUAUGUUGCAUAUUCCUGCUUCACAACCCUAUUGCGUUCUGCUCCUUGUUAAUUUAACCUUCUCACCUACUGCAUGAUAUACAAAGACCUUCACCAGGUUUGCCUUCCUUGUCACUGACAGAGAUGCUGGCCAGACCGGACCACUCCUUGAGGGGAUACAAAGUCUGACUUCUAGAGGGAGCCUCCAAAGUUACCAACAUUACUCUCCCAGCUCAGCUUUAUGUCUUGACACAUCUGAGAGUCAGUGUGGUGGUGGCACAGAUUCUUCGAAACAACAGUUGUCCUGGCUUGCAGGUCUUGAUAAUCAUCUCUCUGACAUAGACCUCAGCUAGCUUUCCAUAGGGCAGUCCUGUCAAGAUUUCACAUGAACAAUCACAAGAAGGCCAUCCCUACCGGAAACCCCUGCUUUAAAAGAAGGAAUCACUCAGGCGAAAGGAGCGGUUUUCCGAAGCAGCCGGAUCAAAGUGAAAUCGCUCAGAAUAGCCUGCUCGCAGGUUUCCUUUCGCUCAUAGGUUCACGCAGAGUGUCAGGCGCUCGGCCGCCGGAUCCGGCCCCUCCGGCGCGGAGAAAUUCAGCGGGACGCUCCGCGAGGAGGUCCUCUCUCCGCUCACCCCCAGAGUAUCCUGGGAUUUCCUUUUUUUUUUUUUUUAAAGACUUUAAAAAUAAUUUGGUGGAUCUCUAAUCUAGUUAUCUGCUGUAACUGCAAUAUGCGCUGUAUGUCUGACUCCCACAGACGAAGGCCUCUGUUUCCUUUCUGCCAGUACCUUAGUAUCUGCCUUGCCCAGGAGUCUGCUGAUGAAGACUUCCUGUUUGUUUUGAGUCACUGCUGGAGUGAUAAAUAUACUUCAGCUUUUCUCCUCCGAGAGGAAAGAAACCAGCUGCCCUGAACUACAGAGAAAAUAUGUAGAAAUUCCACCAAAGGGCCCUGUUAUCAUGGAGCUUCUAUGGAAGCAUGAAAAACCCAGUAAUACAAGCUAUGACAAAGGAACAAUUUACAUAUUAAAACGGCCUUCCGCCCGCGCGGACUGAAGUUGUUUGCCUUUAAUCAUUUAUUUUCACUCUAUAACUUUAAUUUGGAACGAUUUGGAGAUAAAUAAAUAAAUGCAAAACCCCCA
rnacentral:lncRNA from 1 species